GCUCAACCGGGGAGGGUCAUUGGAAACUGGGGAACUUGAGUGCAGAAGAGGAGAGUGGAAUUCCACGUGUAGCGGUGAAAUGCGUAGAGAUGUGGAGGAACACCAGUGGCGAAGGCGACUCUCUGGUCUGUAACUGACGCUGAGGCGCGAAAGCGUGGGGAGCGAACAGGAUUAGAUACCCUGGUAGUCCACGCCGUAAACGAUGAGUGCUAAGUGUUAGAGGGUUUCCGCCCUUUAGUGCUGCAGCAAACGCAUUAAGCACUCCGCCUGGGGAGUACGGUCGCAAGACUGAAACUCAAAGGAAUUGACGGGGGCCCGCACAAGCGGUGGAGCAUGUGGUUUAAUUCGAAGCAACGCGAAGAACCUUACCAGGUCUUGACAUCCUCUGACAACCCUAGAGAUAGGGCUUCCCCUUCGGGGGCAGAGUGACAGGUGGUGCAUGGUUGUCGUCAGCUCGUGUCGUGAGAUGUUGGGUUAAGUCCCGCAACGAGCGCAGCCCUUGAUCUUAGUUGCCAGCAUUCAGUUGGGCACUCUAAGGUGACUGCCGGUGACAAACCGGAGGAAGGUGGGGAUGACGUCAAAUCAUCAUGCCCCUUAUGACCUGGGCUACACACGUGCUACAAUGGGCAGAACAAAG
rnacentral:rRNA from 1 species